GUGUUGCCUUAGAUUCCGCCCACCCGCUCCCUUGGACGACGUCAGCGAAGCCGCGGGGUGGACCUGGCAGCUGUGAAGCCCCACCUACUGUGCGUCCUGGAAGAAGCCCUGCAGGUCUCGUCCUGGGCGUAGCACGUGCUGCUACCUCCGCUGUCCUCAGCUAGCCACGUGAGAACUCUGGAAAGUCCGAAAGUCCCGGAAUCUGAAAGCUCCCUGUCUAGUGCCGGCCACGCGGAAUCCCCACGGUAGUAGACUAGAGGUUAUCUAGUCUCCGCCUGAAGACCUAAAAUGAAGAGGAACCGACUCUAUCCCGGGGCAGUUCUUUGCACUUUGGGACAGCUCUAAUCCUUAGGAAGUUUGACCCGACAUCAAAGCUAAAAUUGUUGCUCUCACCUUCCACUCCAUUGUUCCGAGGCCUACCUUACCUUCCUAGUCAGAGGCAAAGGUAUCAAAGUGGAUGUAGUAGUGCUGGGCCUGGAGUCAGGAAGAGCUAAAUUCAAAUUCAGCCUCAAGACACUUCCUAGUUGUGUGACGAUAGGCUGACUCUCUUGAACCCCAUUUGGGGUUUACUUGGUAAAGAUACUGAAAUGGUUUGCCAUUUCCUUCACCAGCUCACUUUAUAGGUGAGGCUAACAGUUAAGCUACUUACCCAGGGUCAUAGAGCUAGGAAGUGUCUGAAGCCAGAUCUGAAUGUAAGAGGAGUCAUCCUGUCUCCAGGUCCAGCAAUCUAUCUAUUGUGCCACCUAGCUGCCCCCAAAAUACUCUAAAGGGUGUCCCUAAGAGUCUUUGUACAGUUUAAAGUUACAAAAACUUUAACAGUUUGUGAUAUUUUUAAUAUUAUCCAGAUUCUCCUUGAAGACUUACUGAGAAGGGGAAUCCAUUACUCCUCCCCCCCCCCCCCCCCAGGGUAGCUCACUCUACUUUUUGAGUGGCUCUAAUUUUAAGAGGGGUCAAAAAGACUGAACAACAACAAAGUCUGUUAAACUUUUACCUAAUCCCAAACCUAAAUCUUCCUCUCAGCUUCCACCCCCAUUGCUUGGGUUUCAACCCUCUGGAGCCAAGCAGAGAAUGCCUAAUUUUUCAUCCACCACUGUCCUUUUAAUACAGCUAUUUUUCAUUAUCAUUUAGAAUUGAAAGGAAUCCCAGGAAUCAAUUAGUCCAACUUGUACUCAAACAAGUUUCCUCUACAAAAUAACCCAAUCAAGCCUAUCUUCCAACUAAUCUUCACUGGCAAUGGUUUCUCUUCUCAUCAUUCCUGUCACCUCCAGCUUGUCAAUUGCCCUGUGGAAUGUAAUCAGUGUUAAUAAGGUUGGAUCUUUUUCUCCCACUAACCUAGUUACUCCCUUUCCUGACCUCAGCAUUCUUACCUUCAGAACUAUGUACUCAGGAAGCAGAGUAUAGUGACUUGUCAUCUGAAACAGGCUACUUUAAAAAGACAAAUUGCUUGGUUAAGAGAGCCAUAAAGAAGUAGGAAGACAGUCAUGCUGAAGUGCCUCGAAACAGCACCAGAGGGACAUAUCUUGUACAGUAGCAGACUCCAAGAACUUUGGACAGAGAUCUGCUAGAGCCCAGCCAGAUAAGUAAAGAGAGCCAGCCACCUUGGACCAAGCAGUCAGGACUUUGUAGGAAACAUCUUCUGGUGGCAUGACCAGUGCCUGCAUCAUGAGCUUGUAAAUCCCUAGUGAUGGAAGCUGAAGGAGAUUUUACUAAAGUGGUUUUAUUCAUCUCCUUGAGAUUUUGGCUGUGGGCAAGGUAAACUCAAACCAUUAAUGGGUCACUGCACAGGAGUUCCUGAAGAGAUGGUGUCCUCUUUUCUGGGGAAGUGAAGCAGCCAUCUGGGAAGUCUCGCUACUGUAUUUUUUAGCCUCUUUCUAUUUCAGUAAAUAUACCAAAACUAUAAUGUACUAAAUGUCUUUUAUCUUUAGGUCACAUGAAGUGGGAUAGAGAUAAAAUUAGUAAUGGGAAACAAGGCAUGAGCUAUAUUUGGAGGUUUUUCCCAAAUCUUAAACAUCUGAUUAGGGAUGAAAUAUAAGCUGAAAUUCUGAAAUAGAUUUUUGAAACAUUAUAUUCAGAUAAUUUUGCAUUUUUAAAACCUCAACCAAACUGAAAGGAAUCUAGAUCAAUGUUGAAGGGCAUGCAUUUCUGUAUUAUACAAGGAAGAAGCCUCCUAGACUUGGCACACAUGAAGACUAGACAUUUUGCAGCAUCUCCUUUAUACAUGGAUACUCUGUACCCUACUUACCUUUACACAGUGGAAUCAAACCCCCCCAUUUCAGUAAGAUGUGAUACCCAGUACUGAACAUGGUAUUUCACAGUCUGAUCAAUGUAAAGUACAAAGAAACUAUCCUCUCCCUAGUUCUGAGCAUUAUAGCUCUCAAUGAGUUUAGAAUUGCAUUACAUCUUUGGCAUAAAGCAUAGAGUGCUGGUCUUGGAGUUGGGAAGACCUGAGUUUAAGUCCUGCCAAAGAAACUUACCAGUUAUGUCACAUGUCCCUAAAUCUCUCUCAGAAUUAGUUUGCUCAUCUAUAAAAUAGAUAUAGUAAUAAUACCUAACUCUAAGGGUUGUUAUGAGGAUUAAAUAAGAUAACAAACAUAAAGGACUUUGCAAACUUUUCUAGGUGGUGCAGUGGGGUGUAUGGGAUAUUCAGAGAGGACUAGCACCUCUGGUGAGAAGGCUUGCCCAGCCUUUUUCAGGCUGCUCAUCUACCAAGCUUUCUUGUGGCUCCAAGAAGCUGUAGCAUUGAGCAAUGGUCAUUUCCCAACUAAAACCUUCUAGGCAGACAGACUAACUCAGGUUGAGGAUAACCAGUAGGCCUCAAACCCAUCAAUGACUAGAGAGAAUGUCUACCCCAAGUAUGUGAAGACUUGCCCUAGCAGAAUGAAUUGAUGAGAACAAUUUGUUCCAAUGGCCAUGAAGGCAACUGAAACAGGUAUCAUGGUGUCUAGAGCUUUGUUAGACAUGGAAAAUGCCAAGGCCAUCUGCUGCAUCCCCAGCCAUCACCAGUUGUCCUGACUUUUGUCUUGCCUGGACUUUGAUGACUCUGAAACAGAAUGAGGCUGACAAUAUUUUGCAACUCUGUCUCUCUUAAAUCCAAUCCUCUUUCAAGUCAAGAUAUCACCCAUUAGUGAUAUCAUUGGUCCUCUUUCAAAACUGUAGCAGUCCACCCCUAUCUAGGGACAAGGGAAACAGUAUGUACAGAGUGGCUUAGAAGAGAGCAUGCUCAGUCUUGUGCAUGGCUAGGAAAGCCUCUGACCCUUGACCCCAGCUUCCCCCAGGUUAGGCUGGAAAACAGGUUUCUUUCAUCUACCUCUCCCACCUGGGACCUGGCUUUUUGGCCAGGCACUUUCUCACUCUCUUUUCUCUAUCAUGUUUCCGACCUGUGUGGUAUUAAUUGUGGAUCUCAGGAUGGAUCAUGCCUCUUCGACAUCCUAAAGAUUGGGGUUAUGCUGUGGUCCUAUUAUAGUCAAUAAGGCCUGGUUUCUGACUCAUUUCUGCCACCUCAUAUCUAUAACUUGGCUCCACCAUGCCCCUCGGGGUAUCCAAAACUUCUAUCCUUUUUCUAUCUUCCUACCUUGAGGCAUCUCGCAGGUUUGGGGAGCCUCAAAAACAAAGGACCAACAAUAAUGAGGUGGUGCAGUGGUUAGAGGAUAGGCCUGAAGUCAGGAACAUUGCUCUUCUUGAGUUCAAAUUUAACCUCAGACACUCAUUAAUUUGGUUACCCUGGGCUAGCCCUGUUAGCCUCAGCUUCUUCAUCUAUAAAAUGCUGGAGAAGGAAAUGGCAGAUUGCUCCAGAAUCUUUGUCAAGAAAACUCUAAAUUGGGCCAUAAAAGAAUCAGGCACUACUGAACAACAACAAAAAAGUUGUCAUUUUUAUUAUCAUUUAUCAUUAUAUUUAGCUUUUAGUCCUCAAAAACUCUCAGAUCACAAAUUCAUUUCUGUCUAUACCUCUUCCAUUCUGUCCUUGUGGACCUGACUUCCUGAGUUCAGGUAUAAAACUUAUAUAUUAUCCAUACUAAAUGCCAUCAGUCCGACAUUUUAGCUUGUUGAGACCUUUUUGGAUCCUGACUCUGUCAUCUAGUGUGUUAGCAGUUCCUGUCAGUUCCAUGUCAUUUGCAAAUUUAAUAAGCAUUCUAUUUAUUCCUUCUUCUGAAUCAUUUGACAAAACCGUUAAGAUUGCAUAAGGCUAAGGACUGAUUCCAGGGACACUCCACUAGAGGGCUCUCCUCCAAACUUGCAGACUAAUGACUAUCCUUUCCGUCCAAUGAUUCAAUUAGUUCUGUAUCCACCUUACUGUAUUAUCUUCUGAAAUGACACCUUAUAAUAUUUAUCUUCCACAAAGACAGCAAAAGGGAAGGAUUUUGUCAAAUAUUUUGUUGAGAUUAAAAUAUAUUCCAUUCAAUCAGUCAGUUAGAAAAUAUUUAUUAAGGACCUACAAUAAGGCAGCAUGGUGCUAAGAGAUACAAAAAGAGGAAAAAGAACCCUUGCCCUUAAGAAGCUCACAAUAUAAGGGGGGAGACAGCAAAUAUAUACAAACAUGUUACAUAUAGGAUAAUUAUGUAAGUAUUAACAGAGCAAACACAAAAGGGAUUGGGGAAAGUUUCCUGUAGAAGGUGAAAAUUUAGUUGGGAUUUAAAGGAAACCAGGGAAGCCAGAAUACAUAGGGAAGGAGGAAUAGCAUUCUAGAUUUGUAGAAUAGCCAGAGGAAAUGCCCAGAUCCAAGAGAUGGAGUGUCUGGUUUACAGAAGAGCAAGGAAGUCAGUGUCCCUGGAUCAGAGUGUAUAUGGUGGAGAGUGAGGUUUCAUGUAUCCACCAUGGCCAAAGAAUUCAUUACCUACAUUACUAGCUGGGUGACCCUAGGCGAGUCACAACCCUCUUAGCCUGUUUCUUCAUCUAUAAAAUGAACUAGAGAAGGAAAUGGCAAACUACUCCAGUAUCUUUGCCAAGAAGACUCCAACUGGGGUUAUAAAGAGUCAGAUACCAUAAUAUAGUAUAACAAGUUAUUAUUAUUAUCAUUAUCAUUGUUUGAGUCAGUCUGUUGGUGAUGAACCUUUCUGUCUUUAUCUAGAUUGAUCCUUUAGAUAAUAAGUCUGUUUCUGGGCUCAUUCCUGAAGCUUUUUCAGCAGGCUAGAUCCUUCCCAACCUUGAGCUCUACUGGCAUUGUCUUUGGUCAUCUCUGUCCUACCAAGAGGAAUUAGAACAGGUCCCUUUAGGGAUUUAUAGGGAAGACAUAGAUAAAAGUCCUCAAAGAUAAGAGACCAGGAAUGGAACUUGAUCUGCUGGGAGAACCCACACUUAUAAGGUCCAAGAUCUCUUGGUAUACCAAAACUCUCUAGGAAUCCCAUCACAAAAAGGAAAUAAAAUUUAAGUUUGACAUAACUCAACCUUGAUGAAGACAUGUUUGUUCUUAGUGAUCGCUACCUGCCUAUCUAAAUGAUCACAAACCAUGUUCUAAGAUUCUCCUAGGAAUCAGCCAAGCUCAUUGGUCUAUAGUGUGAAGGUUCUACCCCCUCACCACAUGCCCUGGGUCACCUGAACAUCCUGGCCUAGUGAAACACAAGGACACUUGAUGAGUGAAGUCAUAAAAACAACCUGAACUCUCAGAAGGGGCAAUGUGAGGGAAAGGAUGACUGACAGUCAUCUUUCCGGCCAUCUUUCGGAGGGAUGCUGAUUAUAUAUAUGUGAAUGGCAGGUUUUUGGUUUGUUUUAUCAGCUAACCGAUCACUCUUUGCUCCUUGCCUAGAUCUUGGAACAAGGCCUAGAGCUUGCUCCACUUUCCUAAUAUCCCUGGGAUAACGCUGCCUGCCCCUUAUGAACACUUCUCCUUUGUGGGUGAAACUCAGCAAUAGGAAUGUGUCCUGGUCCAGCAGCAACAAGAGGAAUUGUGAAUUUAGAGGGGGUGUUUUAGGGGAAGUAGCAGAAAGAGGGUUGAAAGCAGGAAAAGAACAGCUAUAGUCCAGGCACUGGGCAAAGUACAAAUAUCUCAAUUGAUCCUCACACCAACCCUGAGAAGUAGAUGCUAUUUUGCUCCCCAUUUUACAGUUGAGGAAAUUGAGGCAGACAGAAGUAAGUGAUUUGCCCAAGGCCACCAGGUUAGUAAGUGACUGAGAUCAAAUUUGAACUCAGUUCUUCCUGACUCCAGGUCCAGUAUUUUAUCUCCCAUACUACCUAGAUGCCAGGAAAGAGCCUUAAAGAAGGACCUUGGGUCUUGCUCUGUGCUCUGCUACUAACAAGUUGUAUAACUUUCCUCAAGUCCCUUUAACUCCCUCUAGGCCUAUUUCCCCAUCUGCAAUAUAGGAGGGAUGAACUGAUUAUAUAAUUUCUAAGGUCCACUGUAGCUUUAAUAGUCUAUGCUCUAUACACUAAGAUAUCUUUUGUCUCUAACAUUCUCUAUUCAAUGUUCUAGAUCAAGGACCCUUCCUCACCUUUUUUUGAAUUAUGGACCCCUUUGCCAAUCUGGUGAAACUUAUUGCACCUUUCUUAAGAGUGUUCAUUUUUUAUAUUCAUAAUGAAAGAAAAUGUUCAUUUCAAGUAGAGGUAAGUGAAAAGAAGGAUGCAAUUUUUCCCAUCCAAUUUCCCAGUGUCCCUUGGGAGUGCAUGGAUCCCAGAUUUGGAAAUUCUGGAUGAUGAAGGGAUUGGAAAAAAUAACAGAAAAAGUGGGAGAGGAUAUGCUUAGAGCAAUCAGGACAAAUCUAGAAGUCAUCCCUGUCCUGUAGGGGUUAAUAGAAAGCCCAUCCUGUGCCCUCCAUGAAGCCCUCCCUAACAGAGUGAAUAAAUUCCCUUGGUAUCCACCCUGCCCAAACAGCACACACCCUUCCCCUCAUCCCUCUGGCUGGACAGGGGCCCUUUAUUUCAUUUGCACAGUGAGGGAUUGUUGAGUUUCCUCUUGGUUCACUUCCAGUGUGUGAGGGAGCUUUCUGUCUCUGUGUAUCAAUGUUCUUCUUUUGAUUGCAAAGUCCACAGGGCAGAGACCAUGCUUGUUUAAUCGCUGUUUUAUAUGGGGCAUAGGUAAUACAAUCUGCAUGCCAAGAGAAUGGAUAUAAAAAUAAAUCCCAAGCCUGAGAAUGGCAGAGCAGCUAUCAGAUGCAAAGCAAUCCCAUGUCCUAAUGAUUAAGCUGUCUUCCAUUUGUUAUUUAUUUUGACUGAUCAUUCACCACCAGUCAGGAACCCCUGGAGUCCUGAGUGAGGCUGGACCCCGCCCGUGCCACUGUAUUCCAGAUAUUAAAAAAAGGGGGGACAAAUUGUGGUAUAUGUUGGUGAUGGAAUACUAUUGUGCUAAAAGGAAUAAUAAAGUGGAGGAAUUCCAUGGAGACUGGAACAACCUCCAGGAAGUGAUGCAGAGUGAAAGGAGCAGAACCAGGAAAACAUUAUACACAGAGACUGAUACACUGUGGUACAAUCGAAGGUGAUGGACUUCUCCAUUAGUAUCAAUGCAAUUUCCCUGAACAAUCUGCAGGGAUCUAAAAAAAAUACUACCCACAAGCAGAGGAUAAACUGUGGGAGUAAAAACACCGAUGAAAAGCAACUGCUUGACUACAGGGUUGGAGGAGAUAAGACUGAGGAGAGACUCUAAAUGAACACUAUAAUGCAAAUUCCAACAACAGGGAAAUGGGUUCGAGUCAAGAACACAUGUGAUAACCAGUGGAAUCGUGCGUAGGCUAUGGGAGAGGGAAAGGUGGGGGGGAGGAAAAGAAAAUGUUUUUUUUUUUUUUCCAGUGAAUAAUGUAUGAAAACGACCAAAUAAAAUAAUGUUAAAAAAAGGGGGGGGGGGGGGAAUGGCCUAUUUGUACAAAAAUAUUUAUAACAGUUUUUUUUUUUUUGUGAUGGCAAAGAAUUGGAAAUUGAGGGGAUAGCCAUCAUUUGGAAAAUGGCUGAGCAAAUUAUGGCAUGUGAUGGUGAUGGAAUACUAUUGUGCUGUAAGGAAUGAUGGCCAGCAUGGUUUCAGAAAGAUCUGGAAAGACCUUCAUGGACUGAUACAGAGUGAAAUAAACAGAACCAGGAGAACAUUGUGCACAGUAAAAGCAAUACUGUGGAACUAUCCAACGAUUGAGGACAAUUCUGAGGGAUUUAUAGAAAAGAAUGCUUUCUAUCUCCAGAGAAAAAACUAUUGGACAAGAAAUGCAGAUGAAAACCUGCAAAAAAAUUUUUUACUUGUUUAUUUGGGGUUUUAGUUUUAUAAGAUUAUUCACUUAAAAAUGAAUAAUAUGAAAGUGCUUUGCAUGAUAAUACAUGUAUAAUCCAGAUCGAGUGCUUGUCAGCUCUGGGAGGGGGGAGGAAGGAGGGAAACAAUUUGGAUCAUGUAACUUCCAAAAACUUAUGUAGAAAUUUGUUGUUACAUGUAAUUGUUAAAAAAAUUAAAUUAAAAAGUAAUUGAGAAUCAGAUCUGAUUCAUA